UGAGGUUUCUGACAAUAAGUAAUUAUAAAAAUAUUUACAUUUCAAUAUUUAAUGGUAAAUAUUAUUAUUCGUGUGCUGAUAAAAGCAAAUGUUUUUCUUACGUAAAAUGUUUGGAAUUUGUUGUUUUAAUUUGUUUUUAAUAUAUAUAUAUAUAUAUAUUAUAGGUAAUAUAUGUGUACAUCGGUGGAUCUAAGGCACGAAAUAAAAGAAAAGUUUUAUAGUUCGUAUAAACGUACCUAUAUAUACUUACAUUAAGUAUAUAUAUAUUUACCUACGUAGACUUUAACAAAUAGUAGGUAUUUUUAUUUACUUUUGUUCCCUGCGAAAAUGGCCUUACGUUAAUUCCAACAGAGUUUAAACUUCUGAUGCAAACCGAAAUACUAACAACGUUGGACACACACGGUUCAUAUCAGAACACCCACGUGUAGAGUUGAAUUUCCUUAAUAUUAAUCCCGAAAUUGAAUUCACCGACUACAAUGCGCGUUGAACAGUGAAAAUAAACGAAUUUAUUUUCGGUUCUACAGUUAUAUGUGGAAUUAUCAGCAAGGACCAACGCACGAGGUUUUUCCUAUUCGAGUACCAGAUGACUCUACAUAUGUAUACGACGUCGAUAUGCGUACAAUACAAAUUCGACAAGUAAAUCACAAAUCAGCUUUUAUACGCUUUUCUGUGAAUGAUAUACCUAGUGAUUAUGUAAAUACAAAUAAAAUUAUGCAAGUCUCAGUAUAUAGUACCUAUUACAAAAUAAAAAUUAUUAUUUUCUUAUAUUUACUUUAAAUUUUCUACCAACACACAGACCAUGGUGAUGAGAUUUUUAUGGUUUUCACACAUAUGCACCUAUAUAUAUGUAUGUAUAUCUACACAAAUUUACAAAAACCAAAUUUAAAUACAAUAUCAUCAUGAGAAAUCUUGCACAAAAGGUGUGACGUGUGAAUAAAAACGGUCGAGCUGCAGUGCAGUUAAUAAUGAGCGGAGGCAUACAAUUAUUAUUAUGAGCGGUGCUGCAGAUAAUGAGAAUAUAUUACACCUCUAGAGCCUUUUAUUUCGUUAUAUAAUCAUAUUUUAUAUGUAUUUUCUACGGCAGUAAAAAAUAGUCCCUCGUAUAAAAUAUGUAUCAACCUAAGCCAUAUUUAUAUUAUAUUUUUACAGAUUACUAUAUGAUUUUUGAAAAUCUUUACCGUCAAACCUAAAAAAUAUUAUUCGAACAGAGAUAUUAAUUGUAUUAUUAUUGUAAGUGACGGGGCAGAGGCCGAGUAAAUAAUGGCAUGACCGUAGUUGGAGAAUCGGUUUAAAAUAACGACAUUUGUUAAAGGAACUUAAUAAAAUGUGAUUGGUGGGCAAACAUUCUCGACCGGACGACCACUGCGCUGUCGUACCCUAAGCUUCGCGUAAUUCUUACUAUAUUCGACGGGCAUCAAUUUUAAUCAAAUGUCAGCAGCUAUAUAUAGUCUGUUCUGCGUAGCGCCCGUCUUUCUUUUUGAUAUAAUUUAUUUAACGAUUAAAAUUAAGAAGACGUCACAUAAGAUUUGUUGUCUUAAUCUGCCGUUUACGAGUAUAACGACGACGACGUUUCCUAAUGACAUUUUGUAAAAUAAAUUGAUUCAUCAAGAAAAGACGCAUCAAAAGAAUACGGCGAUUUAGAGAUUAUUGUCGCUGUACGCUAGAUUUUUUGUUUGUUUUUGUUUUUGCAAUCCUCUCUCAACGACAUUUCAAAGUUAAUGUGCGAAUCCACGUAAUACCCAUACAUCGCGUUUAUCGUGUAAAAAAUGCUGCAGGCGUAAACAUAGCGAACAAAUAAUAAUAAUAUACCCAUUGGGUUUCAACUAUGAGUCGUUCGCGUUUUAGGCGGUGCUGUGUGCGCAAGCGACGGAUAUUCACGUCCCGAUAUAGGUCGGGUUUGUUGACCGAAUUGCCGACAAAAUCACCUCCUGCACAUGAUUACUGCUCCAGCCCAUUCCUAUAUAAUUAGAUCAUUCGGUCACAAGAACCACUGGUCGUUUGCGUACGACGUAAAAGUACAAAACGAACGUAGUGGGUAUAAUAUAUAUUAUAAUACGAUGUAGCUAUAGAAACGGUGUACCUACGUGUUAAAAGUAUCAUAGACAUAUUAUAGCAAUAUAAUAUAUAUAUACAUGAUACUAAACAUAUACACACAACACAAUAUAAUAUAACUAUGGACAAUUUAAAUAUAUACAAAACCACAAUAAUCCGGUACAUAAUCCUUAUGUGGUAUACAUUCUACGCAUACCUAUUAUAAAAACGUAUAUAUAGGUAUAGGUACCUACUAAAAUUAUUUAACGAUAUAUUAACAUCAUACUGCAGCUACUCUAUGCCUAUAACUGAUGAAUGAUUUCAUCGUUUAUCAGCAGUCCAGUGUAAAUCAAAUACAUGUACCUAUAUAUAUACAUUGUGUUGAUUAGUUGGAAAAUCAGUAACACUUAUAAACUUAAAAGUUAUUAAAAUUAUUUAUUUUUUUGUAAGCCUUAGUAAAAUGGAAGCCAUUAGUCAUAAAUUGCUUUAGAAUAUUCGUACUAAGUAGGUACCUACAUCACGAACUAAACAUUGUGGUUACUGACUUUCCACUUAAUUAACAAACUGUAAAUUUGAAUACACUAUUACAAUAUUAUAGAUAAGGUACCUAAGCGAACUUAGUAUCAGAUAUGAACUUAGAACUGCAAUAAUAAAUGUACCAAAAUCAUCAUUAAAAGUAUACCUACAUAUAACACGCGUACAGACAAAUACCUACUGUAUACCUAAUAAUAUAUAAUAUAAUAUAAAUAGUUGUACAGGUACAUUAUACCUAAGAAAUGUAUGUAUCGUAUGAUUUUGUACAAGCUGCAGUCUAAAGUAUUAUGAACCACAAUUUGAAAAAUAUUCAAAAUAUUCAGACGAUGGGUUACGACUUGAAAAAAAAAAUAAUAAUACUUAGAGGUGCACUCGAGCUCGUCGUGUAAACAUUCACCCUUUGGUUAACAACACACAAGUAUUUUCAUAUGCGUUCCAUCACGCACUGACCAUGACUGUAAACCCAAACCCUAUAACAUAAAGUCUAAUAACAAUAUACCAAUAGAAUAGACCAACGUUUUACACGUCUCGCAUUAAGCACAUAAUCGCAUUAACGCACGGUUAAAAUAAAUAUACACUACCGAAAACGUUUUUCGUUGAUGGUGGCCACUUAGGCACUUUGUAUAUACAAUAAGUUUCAUUAGUGUUCAAAUCAUAGCCCCCUCACAUGGCAUAUCUUUAUAACCCACCAUCAUGGAUUUAUUGUGGUUAGUAUAGGUACACAAAGCAUUAAAUAAUUAAAAAAAGACUCCUUGUAGAAUUUUGGUGUUCUCGAUUGUAAAACAGAAAUUUUCAUAUAUCCACAGGACAUCACUCCUUAUAAUAUUAGUACCGAACAAAAAUCUUAUGAAUUUGAAAAUAUAGUCUUCAAGCAUCAGAAAAUUCUAAAAAUCAGAUUCUGAAUAACUGCGAGGUGAAAACAGGGGGUGAGCAUAUAAUAUGGCUGGUAAGUGCAGGUCACCCUGUACAUAUACACGCGUUUAAUGGUAUCUGCGAGCACAAUCAUAUACCUAAUAAUAAUAUAAUAUAAUAUAUUUUAUCGCAACGUGUAAAAAUGUUCAUUCAACGUACACAGCGGCAGGGGGUCACCGUGUUCAGAUUUGUUCCGAGAAGAAAACUAUAUUCGUUUUUCACACGUCCGACGACGAGUCGUUUGUCGCCCGCGGAGGCUCGAGUAAACACAGACCGACCGACCUUCAUGAUCCAUCCGUUCAGCGGAUAUUUUUCGGAAGUACACAAUAUACAUAACAUAGGUGGUAGGUACACACAUUUACGCGUAUACACACGUAUGGGCAAGUAGGUAUAGGCAACAACUACAACUACAAAAACAACAUCAACAACAACUAUACCCACGAUCGACGGGUGUCGCGUCCCUCGAGUGAGUCGGUGGUUAUCGGACGAGUGUCGAAAAAUAAACGAUUGUUCGGGGGUCAAGACUCGAGAGUGUAUUUUCGUCGGACGUAUUAUAUAGUGCACAUACAUUUUUUAUUCACGGCACGUCCGCGGAAAUUGUUCGGCGAUUCACGACUGCCAAAACUCUGAACGGGCUAUAUAUAUAUAUAUACGCGUAGAGGUGAGUACUGGGCGUGAGUGUGUAGUAGAGGCGUCGACGUCAAUGGAAAAUAAUAAUAUUAUUAUUAUUUCUUCGCGAAACCUCGUCGCACGCACAAUACACUCGACGAAAGUGUUGAUAAAACUUGUACGUAUAUAAACUAUAAUAUAUUAUUAUAUAAUAAUAACAUACGGAAUAUACACACACACCCACGCCGCACACGCACACCGACUGCGCCGUACAGCUCGUGUAUCGACUACGGGUGCAAAUUCGAAAUGUAGGAAAUGUGUUAUAUUUUCCAGAUGAAAAAUACGUAUACAUCACGUCAUAUCAUACAGUAUACCUAUGCGCGUAUUAUAUACUAUCUACGUGCCACCCACGCCCUGUCAGAAUAAAUAAAAAAUUGCAACAAUAAUAAUAACAACAACAACAACAACAA